rnacentral:rRNA from 1 species
AUUGAACGCUGGCGGCAUGCCUUACACAUGCAAGUCGAACGGCAGCACGGGAGCAAUCCUGGUGGCGAGUGGCGAACGGGUGAGUAAUAUAUCGGAACGUGCCCAGUCGUGGGGGAUAACGUAGCGAAAGUUACGCUAAUACCGCAUAAGCCCUGAGGGGGAAAGUGGGGGGACCGCAAGGCCUCACGCGAAUGGAGCGGCCGAUGUCAGAUUAGCUAGUUGGUGGGGUAAAGGCCCACCAAGGCGACGAUCUGUAGCGGGUCUGAGAGGAUGAUCCGCCACACUGGGACUGAGACACGGCCCAGACUCCUACGGGAGGCAGCAGUGGGGAAUAUUGGACAAUGGGCGAAAGCCUGAUCCAGCAAUGCCGCGUGAGUGAUGAAGGCCUUAGGGUUGUAAAGCUCUUUCAGCCGGGAAGAAAACGCACUCUCUAACAUAGGGUGUGGAUGACGGUACGGACCAAGAAGCACCGGCUAACUACGUGCCAGCAG